rnacentral:rRNA from 1 species
UACGGGGGGAGCAAACGUUGUUCGGAAUUACUGGGCGUAAAGGGCGCGUAGGCGGCCUGCUAAGUCGAACGUGAAAUCCCUGGGCUCAACCCAGGAACUGCGUCCGAUACUGGUUGGCUUGAAUCCGGGAGAGGGAUGUGGAAUUCCAGGUGUAGCGGUGAAAUGCGUAGAUAUCUGGAGGAACACCGGUGGCGAAGGCGACAUCCUGGACCGGUAUUGACGCUGAGGCGCGAAAGCCAGGGGAGCAAACGGG